UGGGGUAUCGCCAAGCGGUAAGGCACCGGUUUUUGAUACCGGCAUUCCCUGGUUUCGAAUCCAGGUACCCCAGCCA
rnacentral:tRNA from 1 species